rnacentral:tRNA from 1 species
GCCUGUCUGGCUCAGUUAGUGGAGCAUGUGACUCUUGAUCUUGGGGCUGUGAGUUUGAGCCCCACGUUAGGUA